rnacentral:rRNA from 1 species
AGUCGAGGGGUAUAGUUUUCGGACCUAGAGACCGGCGCACGGGUGCGUAACGCGUAUGCAAUCUACCUUUUACAGAGGGAUAGCCCAGAGAAAUUUGGAUUAAUACCUCAUAGUAUUAUUGAAUGGCAUCAUUUAAUAAUUAAAGUCACAACGGUAAAAGAUGAGCAUGCGUCCCAUUAGCUUGUUGGUAAGGUAACGGCUUACCAAGGCAACGAUGGGUAGGGGUCCUGAGAGGGAGAUCCCCCACACUGGUACUGAGACACGGACCAGACUCCUACGGGAGGCAGCAGUGAGGAAUAUUGGUCAAUGGGCGCAAGCCUGAACCAGCCAUGCCGCGUGCAGGAUGAAGCAUCUAUGGUGUGUAAACUGCUUUUGUACGAGAAGAAACACUCCUACGUGUAGGAGCUUGACGGUAUCGUAAGAAUAAGGACCGGCUAACUCCGUGCCAGCAGCCGCGGUAAUACGGAGGGUCCAAGCGUUAUCCGGAAUCAUUGGGUUUAAAGGGUCCGUAAGCGGUUUUGUAAGUCAGUGGUGAAAGCCCAUCGCUCAACGGUGGAACGGCCAUUGAUACUGCAAGACUUGAAUUAUUGGGAAAGUACUAGAAUAUGUAGUGUAGCGGUGAAAUGC